AACGAACGCUGGCGGCAUGCCUAACACAUGCAAGUCGAACGAAGGCUUCGGCCUUAGUGGCGCACGGGUGAGUAACGCGUGGGAAACUGCCUAUUGGUGGGGAAUAACGACGGGAAACUGUCGCUAAUACCGCAUAAGCCCUUCGGGGGAAAGAUUUAUCGCCGAUAGAUGUGCCCGCGUCCGAUUAGCUAGUUGGUGAGGUAAUGGCUCACCAAGGCGACGAUCGGUAGCUGGUCUGAGAGGAUGAUCAGCCACACUGGGACUGAGACACAGCCCAGACUCCUACGGGAGGCAGCAGUGGGGAAUACUGGACAAUGGGCGAAAGCCUGAUCCAGCAAUGCCGCGUGAGUGAUGAAGGCCUUAGGGUUGUAAAGCUCUUUCGGGUGGGACGAUGAUGACGGUACCACCAGAAGAAGCCCCGGCUAACUUCGUGCCAGCCGCCGCGGUAA
rnacentral:rRNA from 1 species